ACACAUUAUCUUCCAGUGCUUGCGAGCUUCUCAAGGCCCCACGAUAAGCUGUUCUCUCAGUUUCUUUGAGAGAACGGUGGCCUUGUUUGGCAGCUGUGGAGAGUGCGGUCCCCACAACACCUGUACCUGUUGCAUCUUUACGGGGACUUCUGCUAGAAGUGUCAAGACCAGCAGAGGAACACAUCUGAUGUUGCUGAGAAGGGAACUUGGUGUUUGCAUGGUCCUUUACUACCCCCAUCAGGUGGACAAACGACCGUGUGCUGCCCUGAAGACGUCGACUUUUAACUUCGAAAGACAAAAAAGUGUUUCAAGGUUACAGAAACAAGAAAACAAGUGCGUAUCGAUGCGACAUACAGUAGCCUCCCUCUGAAGGUGCUGUGAAGGCUCUGAACAACUACCAACACUAAACACCCUGGGGGUCCUUCACCUGUAGGCCACAGAAACACGCUCUAAAAACACAAAUCCAAGCAGAUUGAAUUGGUUGGAGUCUUUCUAAAAAUGCUCAGACAGCUACCACCACAGUUGCCUGAACUACUAAACAAACUCAGUAACACUGGGAGACUGUUUAUUAACCAGUAUGAAAGUAAGAAGACAAGAAUGCAAGCCACUGCAGGUGAACUUGCAGGGGUAUCUAACCAUUCAAAAGGCGUGCAGAACACCACAAACACAUCCAGACUAGCUGGGGCAGCUUUAGGAGGACUUGGAGCGAUUGUGGGAUUAGCUGCAGCUUUUUUACCAGGACCUGGAAAACUGGCAUUGUGCAUCGCAGGAGGCGCUGCAGCAGUCUUUGGGGGUGCGUCUGUGGUUACUGCAAAUGCAACCAAGGCCACGACAGAGAUCAUAAGUAGGGAGAAAGUUAAAGAGUUAGGAAAAGAAUUCAUACAAAUCAUUGAACUGCAAAAGGGUCUCUUGGAAGACAUUAACACAGCGUCUGAGGAGUUGGAAGAAAAAUGCUUCUCCUUAAUUACAAAAACGAGAAACCAGGCAAAGAUAGGACUGUGGAACACAGAAGGACUUCAGCAGCUUCUGAUUCAAACAGCUAAACUGUCAGAAACGAGCAGGGCAGUCGUGGACGGGACUCUAUCCGUGCUCAGUCAAGUGAAGGAACUGUUAGACUUCAUUAUCACUCUCUCCAGAAUCACUCCGACAGCUGAGGAGGACGCAAUGCUCAGAAACUGCAUCACAGAAUCAGCCCUGCAGUGCGGGAAAACCGUUCUGGAGUGUGCAAAGAUAAGGAACAUGCUCAGGGACUACGAGGAAAUGCAGGCAGAGUAGGAGCGUGCAGCUGAAGUAAAGCAAAGGUCCUUCAAUGACAUAAAAGUGUAUUAUUUUUGCAGUCAAAUAUAAUAUCAACACGAUUAUAAAUGCAUAGCUUUAUAGCUACAGGAAUAAAAAGGUACU